GACCUCGGAUCAGGUAGGGAUACCCGCUGAACUUAAGCAUAUCAAUAAGGGAGGAAAAGAAACCAACAGGGAUUGCCUCAGUAACGGCGAGUGAAGCGCAACAGCUCAAAUUUGAAAUCUGGCCCCGUCGGGGUCCGAGUUGUAAUUGUAGAGAGUGUUUCGGGUGAGACCACGGUCUAAGUCUGUUGGAACAUGGGUCAUAGAGGGUGAGAAUCCCGUAUGUGACCGUGGCUCGAGCCCAUGUGAGCCUCUUCGACGAGUCGAGUUGUUUGGGAAUGCAGCUCAAAAUGGGUGUAAAUUUCAUCUAAAGCUAAAUACUGGCUGGAGACCGAUAGCGCACAAGAGAGUGAUCGAAAGAUGAAAAGCACUUUGGAAAGAGAGUCAAAAAGUACUGAAAUUGUUGAAAGGGAAGCGCUUGCAACCAGACCUGUCCGUAGGUGACAGCCGCUGUUCUCAGUGGUGCACUCGCUCUGCGAUCAGGCCAGCAUCGUUCCGGCGGUCGGAUAAAGGCCUUGGGAAUGUAGCUCCCUUCGGGGAGUUUAUAGCCCUCGGUGCAAUGCGGCCAGCCGGGACCGAGGACCGCGCUUCGCUAGGAUGCUGGCGUAAUGGUUGUAAGCGACCCGUCUUGAAACACGGACAAGGAGUCUAACAUCUAUGCGAGUGUUUGGGUGUUAAACCCAUGCGCGAAUGAAAGUGAACGGAGGUGAGAACCCUUUAGGGCGCAUCAUCGACCGACCAGAUGUCUUCGGAUGGAUUUGAGUAUGAGCAUAGCUGUUGGGACCCGAAGAUGGUGAACUACGCCUGAAUAGGGUGAAGCCAGAGGAAACUCUGGUGAGGCUGGCAGCGGUUCUGACGUGCAAAUCGAUCGUCAAAUUUGGGUAUGGGGCGAAAGACUAAU
rnacentral:rRNA from 1 species